UACGUAGGGAGCGAGCGUUGUCCGGAAUUACUGGGUGUAAAGGGAGCGUAGGCGGGGAUGCAAGUUGGGUGUCAAAACUACCGGCUCAACUGGUAGUCGCACUCAAAACUGCAGCUCUUGAGUGAAGUAGAGGCAGGCGGGAUUCCUAGUGUAGCGGUGAAAUGCGUAGAUAUUAGGAGGAACGCCAGUGGCGAAGGCGGCCUGCUGGGCUUUUACUGACGCUGAGGCUCGAAAGUGUGGGGAGCAAACAGG
rnacentral:rRNA from 1 species